UCCUAAAACAAACCAACAGUGCUCUCUGUCUCUCUCUCUCUCCGUCUCUAACACACGCACAAACCCAGUUGGGGCUUCCAUUCCAUCACAAACCCGACGUCCCUCUUUUGGUCUCAAUCACAAAGAACUCCUGUUGCCGAUGAAAUCUCCGACGACGUUCUGCUCUCUCCUGCGGCGAUGAAGUAAAGCUGGGUUUUGGAAAUUAAGAUUUCGAGACCGUCGUCGGCUUGGCCGCCGGUAUCAGGUUCGAAACCACUCCCGCUUUCAAGAUCGGAGUUGUUUGUGAGUUCGUUUGUGAUUUUGUCGAGUUCGUUUUUCGAAACCACUCCCGCUUUCAAGAGAGAGAGAGAGAUGUCUGACGCUGCUGUUGGAUUUCUCUUGGACAACCUCAAACAGCUUGUACAAGAUAAUUUUAACUUGAUAAAAAAUGUGAGGGAUGAAGUUGAUGGACUUAUACGCGAUCUUCCAUUGUUGAAAGCCUUAAUUGAGGUCUCGACAGAGACGGGCAGCGAGGAUAAAGUCGUUGAAGCGCUGGUGACUCGCAUCAGAGAUCUGACUUUUGAGGCAGAAGAUGCCAUCGAUUGCUAUACGGCUGUUGAGGCUACCGGCCAAAAGGGAAAAAAAUGGUUCCUGAAAGUGUUCGGUGGCCUGGAUCAUGCUCCUAAGCUUCAUAAAGUUGCAAAGAAGGUUCAAGACAUAAGGGAAGAAGUGGACAAACUGAACCAGAACCCGAUGUUCGUCUUUAAAGCCCUUCAAGCUAAAGACCCUGCUGGCCGAACGGAGAGGAGGCUCCCUGACGUUGAAAAAGACAACGUCGUGGGAUUUGACGAAGCCACAACAACGCUAAUCGAUCGGCUCACUGCAGAUACUAAAGAACUACAAGUAAUCUCGAUCAUAGGAAUGCCCGGGCUGGGCAAAACAACUCUGGCUAAUAAGGUCUUUAACGACCCUAGAGUUUCACAUGAAUUUUCUACUCUGGCCUGGAUUUAUGUAUCUCAAACUUAUACCAAAAGGGACUUGUUGCUUUCCAUUCUGAAAGGUGGUAAUCAAGUCACAACCGCCAUGUCUGACAUGGAUGAAGGCAGCUUGGUGAAAGAAGUCCGUGGCUAUCUGUCUUGGAAAUAUCUAAUUGUUGUGGAUGAUGUGUGGGAGGAGAAGGACUGGGAUAGCAUUAAAGAGGCUUUCCCCAACCACAAAAAUGGAAGCAGAAUCCUGCUAACAAGUCGAAACGAGCCCGUGGCUGUGCAUGCCCAUCCGCUUAGUCAGCCUUAUAAGCUGGAUUUUCUAACUUAUCCUCAAAGUUGGGAGCUGCUCCAGAUCAAGGUUUUUGGUCAAAAAGAAUGCCCUCAAGAGAGUCAAGACUUGAUUCCUGUCGGAAAGGAGAUCGCAGUAAAAUGCUGCGGUCUACCACUCGCGGUUGUGAUAAUUGCCGGAAUGCUUCAAACCAAGAAACGCAAAGACUGGUGGGAGACUGUAGCUCAAAGCGUCAACGCAUUCCUAGUCAUGAACGAAGAGCAAUGCUUAAAAGUGCUAGCUCUGAGCUACAAUCACUUACCGCCUCACUUGAAAGCAUGCUUCCUCUAUUUUGGAGUCUUCCCAGAAGGCUACGAGAUACCUGCCUGGAUACUAAUCCGAUUAUGGAUCGCUGAGCGAUUUGUACAGAAAAUUGGGGAUGUAUGCUUGGAGAAGAUGGCUGAGGACCACUUGGAGGAUCUGGCUGCGAGAAACCUAGUGUUGGUGAUACAAAGGAGUUUCAGUGGUCGAAUCAAAACAUGUCGUAUUCAUGAUAUGUUGCGCGACUUGUGUCUGAGAAAGGCUCUAGAAGAAUCCUUCUUAUUGGAGAUCAAAGAGGAUGGGAGUAAUUCAUCAUCUUACCCAACCCCCGGUGUAAGUGUCAUUAAUCGUCGCCUUUGCAUUCAUUCCGGUGUUUCGAAAUACAUUUCUUCCAAACCUUGUGGCCUCCGUGUCCGCUCUUUCCUGUGUUUUGCCAAGAAUCAAGUUAACCUACGACGUGAACAUGUAGGAUACAUCCCUGAAGAGUUUAAAUUGCUUAGGGUAUAUCAUAUUCAACCCAUUAGUUCUCCCCGGUUUCCCAGCGAGAUAGAAAAAUUAGUUCAUCUCACGUAUGUAGCCUUCUCCGGUGACUUCACAACUAUUCCUGCUGCCAUCUCCAACCUUUGGAACCUUCAAACUCUUAUUGUUGAAACGUCCUCACGCACCACGCGCACCAUUGACAUUAAAGCAGACAUUUUGAAAAUGUCACAGUUUAGGCACCUGCAUACAAACAAGGCCAGUCAGUUGCAUAGCCCUGUCGCCAAAAAAAGUAAGGAUUGUGAUAAUGCCUCUUUAAAUAAAAGCCUACAAACCCUUACCACUAUCACACCUAAGAGUUGUACCGAGGAUGUCUUAGGCCAGACUACAUGCAUAAAGAAGCUUGGGAUCCGUGGGAAGCUAGACAUCCUUGAGGGGAAGGGAUGGUCUCUUUUUGAUAACCUUACCAAGUUACAACAACUUGUGACAUUGAAGUUGUUGAAUGAUGCGUUCCCUGACCCUCCUUCUGAAUCUAAACUACAAGGUCUUCCCCAGUGGAACAAAUUCCCACCAAACUUGGAAAGGCUAACCUUGGCCGAUACCUUUCUUGACUGGGACCACAUGAAUGUACUGGGGAUGUUGCCAAAACUUGAAGAGCUCAAGUUAAAGGACAACGCAUUCACUGGGGUAAGUUGGACUCUAGUCGACAGGGGUUUCAAGAAACUCAAAGCUCUGCAAAUUUGGAAGACAGAUCUGGUGUACUGGGAGGCCAAAGCUGAUCAUUUCCCAAGCCUUCAGCACAUUGUUCUUAAGGACUGCAGGAGGCUAUGGGAGAUCCCUCCUAGUCUGGGCAAUGUAAAAACACUCCGGACAAUUAAGCUUCAUGAAACAUCACGUUCUGCUGCAACUUCUGCCAGGAAAAUCAAAGAGCAGCAACAAGAAAGCAAGGUGUACAAUGGGCUAAAGGUUGAUAUCUUUCCUCCGGAUCUUUGACAAGGCUCAUCUCCAGGGAACAGACGUGAGAAAGAAGAUACAUAGAAGAUACUUCCACAGGUGAUAAUUUGGAUGGCAAUUGAGGAAUUGCAGCACCUUUGGAACCCACCUGUUGGACCUCUAGGGUGUCAUUUAUCUCGUAUUUGUGUUUUGAAUAAGUUGUUGUAUUUGAAUAAAUGGUGAAUGUGUGUAUUCCACUGACACGUGUGGUUGUUGAUUUGAACUCUUGCAUUUUGGUAUAUAAUUUCACACUCGUUUACAAUC